UACAGAGGGUGCAAGCGUUAAUCGGAAUUACUGGGCGUAAAGCGCGCGUAGGUGGUUCGUUAAGUUGGAUGUGAAAUCCCCGGGCUCAACCUGGGAACUGCAUUCAAAACUGUCGAGCUAGAGUAUGGUAGAGGGUGGUGGAAUUUCCUGUGUAGCGGUGAAAUGCGUAGAUAUAGGAAGGAACACCAGUGGCGAAGGCGGCCAGCUGGACCAGUUCUGACGCUGAGACGCGAAAGCGUGGGGAGCAAACAGG
rnacentral:rRNA from 1 species